AAGCUCGUCCACGUCACAAAGCUGUUGUCCCCUCUCCCCCAUCACAGCACCCGAGGUCCGGACCAACUUGGCCUCACUCCAGGGAUUUUGCUAGACCGUAUACGGCUUCAUGCUAUCCAUCCAGGGGCUCCCAGAAUGGUGGCACGGGGCCUGGGGCACCAAUGAGCCAUCCUUCCUUGGAGAGAUCUGGUUUGGGAUCCCAGCUACUCUCGCCCUCCAGCCCGCCUCGCUUGAAACUUCCGGCAAUAGAGACUCCUUUGACGUUUAAAGAAAACAAGGACAAAACACUGACAGCACAACGUUUCCACUGUGGAACAGCUAAGCUGCUGGGAUGGCGUCUGGGCAAGGCGGGUUUCUCAAUGGAGCCUGCCUCUCUUUGGAGUAGGUGGCGUAGGCUGUGCUGAUGCCAUCUUUGCCUGGUUAUCAAAAAGAGAUCCAGAAAUAAAGGCUUGUGGAAUGUUGGAGCUGGAAGUCUUGUCCAACUGGACUUCCUUAUUUAACAACCCUGGAAGAGUUCAUGUGUGAUCAAAUUACUUCUGACUGCACUGUAUGUGGCACACGGACAUGUAAAAUACAUUCCAACCCCGGAGGAAUUUAAGACCUAGCUGGAGAACAGAGAUGACUAAUACAUCAAACAACUUCCAUAAGAGCAAUGCCCUUCCUCUGUGUGCAAUUGAGAGUUCGAAGACGCACCUCUGCUAAUGCAGAAAAGGAAAAAUUUCUUGGAGAGGACAUUGGAAAUGAGCUUUAAGAGUUGAAUGAAAUUUUUACUGUUAGAGUUGGAGGUGGAGAAAUAUAAUUAACAGGAAGAAUGUCUGAUCCCUACAAGAGGAUCACAUGAUACGUUUAAGGACAUUGCCUAGUCCAAUCUGGCUGUCAUAAAAGCUACAUCAUUCCAGCAUGAGUAUUAAAGACCAGAUGUCAAAAGAC